rnacentral:rRNA from 1 species
CAACGCCGCGUGAGGGACGAAGGCCCUCGGGUCGUAACCUCUUUUCUGAGGGACGAGACAAGGACGGUACCUCAGGAAUAAGUCUCGGCUAACUACGUGC